rnacentral:lncRNA from 1 species
CGUUUCAUAUGAUCACUUGGUUCACUAUAUAUACCAAUUGAUUUAUCACAUUUCAAAUCAACCCUUCUUUCCUUUUGAUAAAUCAGCCUUUUCAUUUACUAAUCUAAUAUAAUAAUUCAUCGGUUGUUCGGUAUUUUGCGGCGGCGGAAUGAUGACUGACGGCCGAGGCUUGGCCUCGAUUGGCCGUAUGCUGCCACAUGGGCUGGUGGUGGCGUUUGCCGUUUUGGCUAUUUCGAGG